GUUGCGGAAGAGUUUGGAUCGGGAAAGAAUGAUCUAAGAUUGAAAGAUGUUGAGCAGAGGGAAAAAUGUAACUGAGCAGGAGUAAAGCAAAUCCAGUGGAGGAUUGUAUUUUUUAUAUAAAUUGUAACCUUGAUAAAGAUGGACUGGAAGUCAAAUUUAUCAAUCAGUUAAAUGGCAAUGGAGGAGUGUUCACAUCAAUUAAAUUCUGCAAAAGAGAUUUCCUUUUGGAGUAUGUCUUUGAAAGGCUGGCAAAACGGAAGCUGUGGAAAGGGAAAAAUUCCAUAGACAAGAAUGUGGGGUCCUAGCUGGAUUUUUUUCCCUUUCAGUGGAAAAGCGGAAUGACGACAGCUGCAAUAUGGAGACAAGGCAACAUAUGGCUGCAUCCCAUCAACGUCAGAAAGAAGACAGAGCAUCGGCCUGACAGUGAAGACAGCAUUAACAACUAGAGGAAGAGUCUGAAUCAGCUGAAGCUAGUGAUAGUGGUAUGUACACCAAUGGGUACAUGUACGCCACAAGUGAAAUCUGGCAAUUUCAUAUGCAUGACUUCCUCACUAUAGGAGCAAAUGUCCUUGAGAAAACCGAGCUUAUCAUCCAACAGACUGAGUUUAUCAUAGAUGGAAGGAAAGUGAAGAAGGGAUUGUCAAGGCUCACUUCAAUGUUAUAUGGGUGACAAUUAAAAAGGAUUCCCAGGAAAGAGAGAAAUCAACGUUUUUCAGAAGGAUAAUCUGUUUGUCUCAUUUCCUGUCAAACCAUCAAGCCAAGGUUAUGAAUGAGAAAUAUAAGCACAGAGUAAAGGUAAAAAUAUAACUUUUUGUAGUUAACCUAGUCACUAGGUUCACAAAGCUUCACUAUACUGGCCUUUCUGAGUUGUACAAAUAAGCUGCGCGUUUUUGGUUAAAAUUUAGAAUUUGCUUGGCUCAUCUGACAUCAUCAUGGCAGUACUUAAGAUUUUCUCGAAGUGUGCGUGUUACUUAAUUUGAACUGCGAUAUCUCGGUAAUUACUCAUCAUAAAUAAAGAGACAAGGUUUUUAAACUCAGGGGUGGAAACUUUAUGAUCUCGUUUAUACCACAGUCUGUUUUUGUUUGUUCUGGUCAUUUAUUUAUCAUUAAAUUCAUUAAUUCAUUAAAAAUUUCAUAAAUUAUAAUGAAUUAAUUAGAUGCUCUCUGCAACAUUGUGAACUGUGGUCUGAUUUCAAUACGUUAUUUCUUUGGUUUGCUGUUUGGAAUGUCAUGUAGUUGCCUAUGCAUGUAUGUAGCAGAAUAAUAUGUAGUCUCAUUCUGUGAUUCUCAGUCACAUUUGAAAUAUCUCUCUGAGCGAAUAUUUUAUUACAUUCAAUCGAGGAAACUGCUUAUUUGACUAGUAAUGUUGAUGAGAUUGAGAAGAAAUGACAGCGUAGUUGUGUGUAGUGAAAAUAGAGACCCAUUGCCACAGUCCAGUUUUUACAUAUAUUUCGCAAUGGCUGGGCACAAUUUUCAAAAAAAAAACAAGACGAAUAUCAGUCAUCUUCAUUGAAAGGCUUUGUUGAGUUUGAGCUUGUGUAGUGAGGCUUCCAUUUUAACUCUGUUUCCGCAUGAGGUUGUAAGUAAAGGUCGGCCAAGUAAGCAUAAGAUCAUGCUCAUCAUUAUGGAUUUACGGUUUGGUGUCAGCGAACAAAAUUAAAUUGUGUGGCUGGUUGAAAAAUGUUUAGCAAUCAUGUAUAUAGGAGUGUAAUUAAAUUGUAUGUCAAAAUGCUGAGUAGAAUGUGUUAGUUAAUAGCAGAUUGUUGAAUUAGUUGAUGUUUUAGAUGAGAGUCCUGUAACAUAACCAGGUUUAGCUCCACAUAUGGUUCUGUAUUCCACAACAUUUCUUGUUCUGUUCGAUUCAUAAUUUUAAUCAUUGACUGUACUAAAGUGAAAUAUACAUAGAUGUGGUACAAACACCAUUAAAAAACAUCACGUAUCACAUGAAAAUUACCUUGAAUUGUGAGCAUUUAAGAUGAUUUAAGAUCACCUUUGUACACACUCCAUGCCCAUGUUUUUGUGAAUCAUGAAAGUGACAAUAAAUGCAGCUAUGU